rnacentral:rRNA from 1 species
CCUACGGGAGGCAGCAGUGGGGAAUAUUGGACAAUGGGCGCAAGCCUGAUCCAGCAAUGCCGCGUGAGUGAUGAAGGCCUUCGGGUCGUAAAGCUCUUUUACCCGGGAUGAUAAUGACAGUACCGGGAGAAUAAGCUCCGGCUAACUCCGUGCCAGCAGCCGCGGUAAUACGGAGGGAGCUAGCGUUGUUCGGAAUUACUGGGCGUAAAGCGCACGUAGGCGGUUAUUCAAGUCAGAGGUGAAAGCCCGGGGCUCAACCCCGGAACUGCCUUUGAAACUAGAUGACUAGAAUCUUGGAGAGGUCAGUGGAAUUCCGAGUGUAGAGGUGAAAUUCGUAGAUAUUCGGAAGAACACCAGUGGNGAG